CGUAAUUCAAAUACUGAAAUUGAAGUUCUUAAUAAAAAAGAUGAUAUCGAGUCUGGGGUUGUUCUGGGAUCACAGACAGUACUCAAUGCCAAUGCGCCUUCUUCACCAAUAUUUAAAGAUUCCAGUAUGUCUCAGAAAAACAAAGGCAUUAUUCCAACUGAGAAAGUGGAAAAUAAAAAGUG